GAGGGCAUAGCUCAAAUGGUAGAGCACAUGCUCAGCAUGCAUGAGGUCCUGGGUUCAAUCCCAGUAUUUCCU
rnacentral:tRNA from 1 species